rnacentral:rRNA from 1 species
AGAGUUUGAUCCUGGCUCAGGAUGAACGCUAGCUACAGGCUUAACACAUGCAAGUCGAGGGGAAACGACAUCGAAAGCUUGCUUUUGAUGGGCGUCGACCGGCGCACGGGUGAGUAACGCGUAUCCAACCUGCCCACCACUUGGGGAUAACCUUGCGAAAGUAAGACUAAUACCCAAUGACGUCUCUAGAAGACAUCUGAAAGAGAUUAAAGAUUUAUCGGUGAUGGAUGGGGAUGCGUCUGAUUAGCUUGUUGGCGGGGUAACGGCCCACCAAGGCAACGAUCAGUAGGGGUUCUGAGAGGAAGGUCCCCCACAUUGGAACUGAGACACGGUCCAAACUCCUACGGGAGGCAGCAGUGAGGAAUAUUGGUCAAUGGACGAGAGUCUGAACCAGCCAAGUAGCGUGCAGGAUGACGGCCCUAUGGGUUGUAAACUGCUUUUAUAAGGGAAUAAAGUGAGUCUCGUGAGACUUUUUGCAUGUACCUUAUGAAUAAGGACCGGCUAAUUCCGUGCCAGCAGCCGCGGUAAUACGGAAGGUCCGGGCGUUAUCCGGAUUUAUUGGGUUUAAAGGGAGCGUAGGCCGGAGAUUAAGCGUGUUGUGAAAUGUAGAUGCUCAACAUCUGAACUGCAGCGCGAACUGGUUUCCUUGAGUACGCACAAAGUGGGCGGAAUUCGUGGUGUAGCGGUGAAAUGCUUAGAUAUCACGAAGAACUCCGAUUGCGAAGGCAGCUCACUGGAGCGCAACUGACGCUGAAGCUCGAAAGUGCGGGUAUCGAACAGGAUUAGAUACCCUGGUAGUCCGCACGGUAAACGAUGGAUGCCCGCUGUUGGUCUGAAUAGGUCAGCGGCCAAGCGAAAGCAUUAAGCAUCCCACCUGGGGAGUACGCCGGCAACGGUGAAACUCAAAG